UACGAAGGGUGCAAACGUUGCUCGGAAUUAUUGGGCGUAAAGCGCACGUAGGCGGCUUUGCAAGUCGGAUGUGAAAUCCCUCGGCUUAACCAAGGAAGUGCAUCCGAAACUGCAGAGCUUGAGUACUUAAGAGGAUCGCGGAAUUCCCGGUGUAGAGGUGAAAUUCGUAGAUAUCGGGAGGAACACCAGUGGCGAAGGCGGCGAUCUGGGAAGAUACUGACGCUGAGGUGCGAAAGCGUGGGGAGGCAAACAGG
rnacentral:rRNA from 1 species